UACAGAGGUCUCAAGCGUUUGUUCGGAUUCAUUGGGCGUAAAGAGCUCGUAGGCGGUCUGUCGCGUCGGCUGUGAAAACUCGGGGCUCAACCCCGAGCCUGCAGUCGAUACGGGCAGACUAGAGUGCUGUAGGGGAGACUGGAAUUCCUGGUGUAGCGGUGAAAUGCGCAGAUAUCAGGAGGAACACCGGGUGGCGAAGGCGGGUCUCUGGGCAGUAACUGACGCUGAGGAGCGAAAGCGUGGGGAGCGAACAGG
rnacentral:rRNA from 1 species